rnacentral:piRNA from 1 species
UAACUGUCUUAAAAGUCUUGAAUUUCUUGA